AUUGAACGCUGGCGGCAGGCCUAACACAUGCAAGUCGAACGAGUGGCGGACGGGUGAGUAAUGUCUGGGAAACUGCCCGAUGGAGGGGGAAAACUACUGGACACGGUAGCUAAUACCGCAUACCAUCGGAUGUGCCCAGAUGGGUUUAGAUAGUAGGUGGGGUAACGGCUCACCUAGGCGACGAUCCCUAGCGGGUCUGAGAUGAUGACCAGCCACACGGGAACUGAGACACGGUCCAGACUCCUACGGGAGGCAGCAGUGGGGAAUAUUGCACAAUGGGCGCAAGCCUGAUGCAGCCAUGCCGCGUGUAUGAAGAAGGCCUUCGGGUUGUAAAGUACUUUCAGCGAGGAGGCGUUACCCGCAGAAGAAGCACCGGCUAACUCCGUGCCAGCAGCCGCGGUAAUUC
rnacentral:rRNA from 1 species